rnacentral:sRNA from 1 species
UCAUGUAUUGCCACGCCAUAAAUUAAAUUCGUGGUGAAUCCCCCUGAGCGGAGGGGCGUAAACAGCACCCAUCAUGGAAUGAUGGUCGCAGAGUUGCCAAGAGGCGCGAGUCAUGGUGGCUGGCCAAAGGCUCACCGGGAGGCACCCGGCACCACAUACCCAGAGAUAGAUCGUUAUAUUUGCAUACUGUUUUAUUUAU